UUUUCUUAGGAGGUUUGGAUUGGCACUUCUUUAUAGUGUCACUACGAGAAAGUGGAAUUUGAUGUCUUUUUCUAUGGUUGCAACUUGCCCUCAAUUAUCUUCAAAGGAGCCGAGGAAUUCAAAGGACGAAAGAACUAGCCCAAGAACAUGCCAAGCAAGCUGCAAUGGCAGUACAAGCUCUUCCUCCUAGUGAAGACCAGACUGUCCAAGUCUCUAGGCGUGCUCUCGUUGAUCUCACCCAGAGAGUCAUUUCGAGAACAAAGUGAAAAAGGUUAUGUAUUUUUUUAUUAUAUUCAUAUUUAUCAUGUCAUAUUUAAAAAAUAAAACUUAAUUAUUCGUAUUGUUAUUCCUUUUUAAUGUUUUACAAUGAUACAAAUUGUUGCCUCUUAAAUAUUGUAUUUGUCUGCUUUAUAAUUAGAAGCCCCAAAUUGUAUCUC